rnacentral:rRNA from 1 species
AUUGAACGCUAGCGGGAUGCUUUACACAUGCAAGUCGAACGGCAGCGCGGACUUCGGUCUGGCGGCGAGUGGCGAACGGGUGAGUAAUGUAUCGGAACGUGCCCAGUAGCGGGGGAUAACUACGCGAAAGCGGAGCUAAUACCGCAUACGCCCUACGGGGGAAAGCAGGGGAUCGUAGGACCUUGCACUAUUGGAGCGGCCGAUAUCGGAUUAGCUAGUUGGUGAGGUAAAGGCUCACCAAGGCGACGAUCCGUAGCUGGUUUGAGAGGACGACCAGCCACACUGUGACUGAGACACGGCCCAGACUCCUACGGGAGGCAGCAGUGGGGAAUUUUGGACAAUGGGGGCAACCCUGAUCCAGCCAUCCCGCGUGUGCGAUGAAGGCCUUCGGGUUGUAAAGCACUUUUGGCAGGAAAGAAACGUCGCGGGCUAAUACCCCGUGGAACUGACGGUACCUGCAGAAUAAGCACCGGCUAACUACGUG